rnacentral:tRNA from 1 species
UGCGGCCGGGUGCCGGCGUUCACCGUCACGGUGGUCGAGGCACCGGCGGCCAGCGCAGGCACCGGGGCGCUGCCGGCGACCGUGCC